rnacentral:rRNA from 1 species
GACGAACGCUGGCGGCGUGCUUAACACAUGCGAGUCGAACGGAAAGGCCUCUUUCGGGGGGUACUCGAGAGGCGAACGGGUGAGUAACACGUGAGUAACCUGCCCUUGACUUUGGGAUAACUUCAGGAAACUGGGGCUAAUACCGGAUAGGAGCUCCUGCUGCAUGGUGGGGGUUGGAAAGUUUCGGCGGUUGGGGAUGGACUCGCGGCUUAUCAGCUUGUUGGUGGGGUAGUGGCUUACCAAGGCUUUGACGGGUAGCCGGCCUGAGAGGGUGACCGGCCACAUUGGGACUGAGAUACGGCCCAGACUCCUACGGGAGGCAGCAGUGGGGAAUAUUGCACAAUGGGUGGAAGCCUGAUGCAGCAACGCCGUGUGCGGGAUGACGGCCUUCGGGUUGUAAACCGCUUUCGCUCAUGACGAAGCUUUGUGUGACGGUAGUGGGUAAAGAAGCACCGGCUAACUACGUG